UGGGGAAUAUUGCACAAUGGGCGCAAGCCUGAUGCAGCCAUGCCGCGUGUGUGAAGAAGGCCUUCGGGUUGUAAAGCACUUUCAGCGGGGAGGAAGGCGAUAAGGUCAAUAACCUUGUCGAUUGACGUUACCCGCAGAAGAAGCACCGGCUAACUCCGUGCCAGCAGCCGCGGUAAUACGGAGGGUGCAAGCGUUAAUCGGAAUUACUGGGCGUAAAGCGCACGCAGGCGGUCUGUCAAGUCGGAUGUGAAAUCCCCGGGCUCAACCUGGGAACUGCAUUCGAAACUGGCAGGCUAGAGUCUUGUAGAGGAGGGUAGAAUUCCAGGUGUAGCGGUGAAAUGCGUAGAGAUCUGGAGGAAUACCGGUGGCGAAGGCGGCCCCCUGGACAAAGACUGACGCUCAGGUGCGAAAGCGUGGGGAGCAAACAGG
rnacentral:rRNA from 1 species